rnacentral:rRNA from 1 species
GGGGAAUAUUGCACAAUGGGGGAAACCCUGAUGCAGCAACGCCGCGUGAGUGAUGAAGGCCUUCGGGUUGUAAAGCUCUGUCUUUGGGGACGAUAAUGACGGUACCCAAGGAGGAAGCCACGGCUAACUACGUGCCAGCAGCCGCGGUAAUACGUAGGUGGCAAGCGUUGUCCGGAUUUACUGGGCGUAAAGGGAGCGUAGGUGGAUAUUUAAGUGGGAUGUGAAAUACCUGAGCUUAACUUGGGUGCUGCAUUCCAAACUGGAUAUCUAGAGUGCAGGAGAGGAAAGUGGAAUUCCUAGUGUAGCGGUGAAAUGCGUAGAGAUUAGGAAGAACACCAGUGGCGAAGGCGACUUUCUGGACUGUAACUGACACUGAGGCUCGAAAGCGUGGGGAGCAAAC